AGGGGCCGCAGAUUAAACCCUUAUGAAUAAAACACACAUACACUUUACCACCCACAGAUUUGGGCGGAAACCAACACUCAACUUUUGUUCUCCGCGGGUCAUAUAACGGCGCAGGAGUGUCGGACAGUUCAAUCUCGCGUGCUGAAAUGGCCGGAAUCUCGCAGCACAGGUCUAAGAUCUCUAAACCGCUGAUGGAGCGACGGAGGCGAGCGCGCAUCAACGCGUGCAUCGGAGAGCUGCGCGCUCUGCUGAUUCAAGCCCGCGCAACCACGAGCUGUCAAUCAUCUAAACUGGAAAAGGCGGAAAUUCUCGAGUUCACUGUACGACACCUGCGCGCGCUGCACUGCCCUUCAACAGAUGGGUGGAGUCGGUUCUGUGCGGGAUACGCGGCAUGUGUGCGGGAGAUCACGCGCUUCUUCAGAACCACAGACACGAACCGACGCCCGAGCGCGGAACACCAGGACCGACCCGACAUGUCACAGAACCCAAAUCCACUCGCACUCACGAGCGUCUGGAGACCCUGGAGCUAAAACCUGCCAAAUCCCUCAUAUAAACCGUUUUAGUCUUGUCUGUUAAGAGGGAAGCCCAUUUCCGCCACAUAAAAAAUACGCUAAUGCUUUUGUAAAUCAUGGCAAGUCGAUCAAAUUUAAUAUGCAUGUUUUUUUGUUAUGUGCCGGAAUUGUAUAUUCCACAUGUUAGUUUAU